rnacentral:sRNA from 1 species
CCUCCGAAACCUGUUGGGGACAGAUAUAAUGAAUGUGCGUAUCGAUUGCACCGGCCGUAAUAAUCUUGCCCUCCCCAGCAAUCGCAUCCGUGCAACUGCCGACGACCAUACCAGGGGUUACUCCCUCCAUGACAUCCGGAUUGCCGGCCUUCCCAAUGCCAACGAUCAUACCGUUCUUCACGCCAAUGUCGGCCUUGUAUAUACCGGUCCAGUCGACAAUCAGAGCAUUGCUAAUCACCAAAUCAAGCGACACGGAGUCUCGCCUCCCCGUAGCCUGGCCCAUGCCCUCUCGCAG